UACGUAGGGGGCGAGCGUUGUCCGGAAUCAUUGGGCGUAAAGAGCGUGUAGGCGGCUUGGCAAGUCUGACGUGAAAGCCCGCGGCUCAACCGCGGAUUGUCGUUGGAAACUGCCUCGCUAGAGUCCGGAAGAGGAGAGCGGAAUUCCUGGUGUAGCGGUGGAAUGCGCAGAUAUCAGGAAGAACACCCGUGGCGAAGGCGGCUCUCUGGGACGGUACUGACGCUGAGACGCGAAAGCGUGGGGGAGCGAACAGG
rnacentral:rRNA from 1 species